CCUACGGGUGGCAGCAGUGAGGAAUAUUGGUCAAUGGGGGAAAGCCUGACCCAGCAACGCCGCGUGAAGGAAGAAGGCUUUCGGGUUGUAAACUUCUUUCGACAGGGAAGAACAGAAGGCGGUAACUGUAGAAAAAGUCACGGAUAAAUACGUGCGAGCAGGCGGGGUAAUACGUAGGUGGAAAGCGUUGUCCGGAUUUACGGGGUGUAAAGGGCGUGUAGCCGGGCUGACAAGUCAGAAGUGAAAUCCGGGGGCUCAACCCGCGAACUGCAUUUGAAACUGUGGGUCUUGAGUAGCGGAGAGGCAAGCGGAAUUCCUAGUGUAGCGGUGAAAUGCGUAGAUAUUAGGAGGAACACCAGUGGCGAAGGCGGCCUGCUGGACAUCAACUGACGUUGAGGCUCGAAAGCGUGGGGAGCAAACAGGAUUAGAUACCCGGGUAGUC
rnacentral:rRNA from 1 species